CAGAACGUCAAAAUGGUUGGGUCUAUGUUGCUUUCUAUGAAAUUCAUAUCACAGCCAUUUUGACGAGUUUGA
rnacentral:pre_miRNA from 1 species